UUUAAGUGUUUUUUUAGGAUUUGCUUGCACCUUUAUCAAAUAUUGGUUUUAAAAAUAUUUUCACCAAAAGCACUUUCAGUUAUAUUAAAAGUACAUCCUAACGAGCUCAAAACGUUAAGAAAACUCUUAAAGUGAAAUUUUUUUUUUAACUCUGCGUCAUUUUAUGUUUUUGACAUAAUUAUAGUGCUAAUAUUACAAAAUAAUGUACAAAAAACAUGAGAUAAUAGAUGAUCCAUUAAGAAUUUCACUUUAAAAGAGUUUAUUUAACAUUUCUCAUCAAUUAAUGGCGUCCCUAUAGAUAAAUCAUAAUUUUGAUAAGGAUGUAGUACUGAGAUUCUUUUAUAAAAAGUUGAUAUAAAAAAAAAAGCUAAUCUUAAAAAGAUGUUUGGCAAACACUUAAAAAUAGCUUAUUUUCAAAGUUUUUUGUGAAAAAAAACUGAAAACGUGAAGUAACAAAAAUAAAUUUAUUCUCAUAGUACAACAUAAACAAUUUUUUUUUCAAAAUACAGUAAUACCAAACCAACCAGUAGUAGAGUAUUGUAAAGGAAGAAAUGCUGAAGAGACUUUUGGGGUGGUUUGGGAGUGAGGUGUUAAAAAAAAAAGCACACAUGAAAAAAAGCUGUGAAGGUUUUAGGUGUUUGGUAAACUGAAAAAAAAUGGCUUAUUUUAGAAACUGCUGUGAGAAUAAACUGAAAUCAAAGGAAAAAGCUGAAGCUGCUAUUUGCAGCUUUGGAAAACUGGUUUUUUUUCAAAGCACACAGAGCUACAAUGCUUCUUUAAUUAAAAGAUCCACUAUCAGACUGCUUUUUUUUCCGAAAGCACUUUUACAAAAAAGUUUACCAAACACUCUGGUGAUUUAUUUCAUAGCCGCUUAUUCUCACAGCAGUUUUUUUUUUAAAGUACAACAAUACCAAACCAGCAUUUGAAAGUUAUAUUCUCCUUUAUCACAUUACAAUUUUACGUCUUUUAUUUUGAAAUCAUAAAAUAUUAUGUAAAAAUAUAAAGUCACAACGGGUGAGGAAUGGCAUUUCCCUUGUAAAUGUCAAACGGACCCCACGGCAUGGGUUCACUUUUUUAAGAAGAUGGAGAGAAAGGUGGAGGUGGAGGGACAUGAAAUGUAGUGGUUAGCAAUGGGAAAUGGAUCAUCUUGGGAUCCAUUCCGACUAAUUUAUUAAAUUAGAGAAUUUGUAUUGUUGAUAGUUAUAAACAGGGAUUCACUUUAUAAGUUAUAAUAAUUUUAACCGAUCAAUUUUCAAUGAUACGAAUUGUUGAUUUGAUGGAUUAGGAAAAAAAAAACCAGAGAGUCCGAGCAUUACAGACAAUAAAUUGUCAUUUGCUUAUGAUACACCUAAACUCUCUCUAUUAUUAUAGAGCAAAAAAUUUAAUUGUGACCAAAACACGAAUAGUACACAACAUGUUUUUAUAUAAAUAGUGAGAAA
rnacentral:lncRNA from 1 species